CAGCAGCCGCGGUAAUACGGGAGGCCCUAGUGGUACCCACGAAUACUGGGCUUAAAGCGUCCGUAGCCGGUCCAGUAAGUCCAUGGUGAAAGCUCACGGCCCAACCGUGAGAAGCGCCAAGGAUACUGCUGGACUAGGGAGCGGGAGAGGUAGGGGGUACUCCAAGGGUAGCGGUUGAAUGUGUUAAUCCUUGGGGGACCAUCGGUAGCGAAGGCGCCCUACUAGAACGCGUCCGACGGUGAGGGACGAAGGCCAGGGGAGCGACCCGGAUUAGAUACCCGGUUAGUCCUGGCUGUAAAUGAUGCAGACUAGGUGUCCCGUAACCCACGAGGUUAUGGGGUGCCGUAGGGAAACCGUUAAGUCUGCCGCCUGGGGAGUACGGUCGCAAGACUGAAACUUAAAGGAAUUGGCGGGGGGACACACCAGGGGUGGAGGCUGCGGUUUAAUUGGAUACAACGCCAGACACCUCACCGGGGCCAACAGCAGAAUGAAGGUCAGUCUGAAGGGCUUACUAGACAAGCUGAAGGGUGGUGCAUGGCCAUCGUCAGCUCGUGCUGUGAAGUGUCCUGUUAAGUCAGGCAACGAGCGAGACCCACGCUACUAGUUGCUAGCCUUCUCAUUACGAGGGGGUGCACUCUAGUGGGACUGCCGGUGACAAGCCGGAGGAAGGAGUGGGCGACGGUAGGUCAGUAUGCCCCUAAUGUCCCGGGCUACACGCGGCCUACAUUGCCAGGUACAAUGGGAUGCGACCCCGAAAGGGGAAGCUAAUCUCCUAAACCUGGCCCGGGUUCAGAUUGAGGGCUGCAACUUGCCCUCAUGAAGGUGGAAUCCCUAGUAAUCGCAAGUCAUUAUCUUGCGGUGAAUACGUCCCUGCUCCUUGCACAC
rnacentral:rRNA from 1 species